rnacentral:lncRNA from 1 species
UUGCUACCGGAAAAAUGAAAAGUCAUAUCUUAUAUAUUAAUUUCUAAAAUCUUUUUAUUCUAUAAUAAUUUUUAAAGUUAUUCAAUUAAUUGUAUAUAUAUUCCUGCUGUCCAAUAAUUUAACCAUACUUGAGUUGGAUUUUUGUGGAGUAUUAUUUGAUGGGGGUUCAGCAAUCUACCUAGACUUGGAAUUUUUUUUUUUGCCUGAUAAUUUCAAUUAUUUUGGAUAUAUAUAUAUUCUUAGUAUUUUAAACACACAAACCAUCAUAGAAACAUCCAUCAGUUUCCCAUUCAUCAUUUGGGCAAAGCCCCGUCCAUUCUUUGAGAACAUG